rnacentral:tRNA from 2 species
GAGGGGGUAGCUUAAUAAAAGUAGUGGAUUGUAGCUCCGAAGAUGGUGUAUGCUUCCCCUUA